rnacentral:rRNA from 1 species
UACGUAGGUGACAAGCGUUGUCCGGAUUUACUGGGCGUAAAGAGCGUGUAGGCGGCCACGCAGGUCCGUUGUGAAAACUGGAGGCUCAACCUCCAGCUGUCGACGGAAACCGUGUGGCUAGAGUCCGGAAGAGGAGAGUGGAAUUCCUGGUGUAGCGGUGAAAUGCGCAGAUAUCAGGAAGAACACCAAUGGCGAAGGCAGCUCUCUGGGACGGUACUGACGCUGAGACGCGAAAGCGUGGGGAGCGAACAGG